UGCUUAGCCGUAACAUUGACAGUUAAAUACAUUUUCUGUCCGCCUGGGUACUACGAGCAUUAGCUUAAAACCCAAAGGACUUGGCGGUGCUUUAGACCCACCUAGAGGAGCCUGUUCUAGAACCGAUAAUCCCCGUUCAACCUCACCCUUCCUUGCUCGUCCCGCCUAUAUACCACCGUCGCCAGCUUACCCUAUGAAGGUUAAAAAGUAAGCAAAAUUGGCAUUGCCCAGAACGUCAGGUCGAGGUGUAGCGAAUGGAAGGGGAAGAAAUGGGCUACAUUCCCUCUAAUACCCCAGGGAAUUACGAAAGAUGAACUGAAAAUCGUACAUCUGAAGGAGGAUUUAGCAGUAAGCGGAAAGUAGAGUGUUCCACUGAAACCGGCUCUUAAGCGCGCACACACCGCCCGUCACUCUCCCCGAAAACUUAUCAAAACAUUAAUUAAAAUGCCAAAAUCAUAGAGGGGAGGCAAGUCGUAACAUGGUAAGUGUAC
rnacentral:rRNA from 1 species